rnacentral:lncRNA from 10 species
UAGCACUGACUCACUUGGGAAUUCAUAACCCUACAUAUAAUCACUUUUGGAAUGGAGUGCAUUUAUGCCUUCAAAAAGUUGGCCUCAUUUUCUGAAGCUGAAAUCCUUUUGAUCAUAAUUACUUCUGACCUAAAAUUACCCACAGUCACCAUACAAUGCCACGCUGGGACAAAAAAGAAAUACAUAUUAUUGCAUUCUUACCCAAAUACUCUUCGUGAUUGCCUGCUUUGCGGCUUUGGGAUUCUUCAGGGAGUAGAGAACAUUCACACGGGUUGACAUCCCAGUUUUCUCAGCAUAUUUCUGAACCAACUUACGGAUACAUGAAGAAGUCAGACAAGGCCGGGUGCGGUGGCUCACGCCUGUAAUUCCAGCACUUUGGGAGGCCGAGGUGGGCAGAU